AAACAUAGCCUUACGAAGAUUAUAUGUAAGGUGAUUUCUGCCCAAUGAAUAGUAUAAUUUUAAUGGCCGCAGUACCUUGACUGUGCUAAGGUAGCAUAAUAAAUUGGCUUCUAAUUAAGGUCGAGUAUGAAGGGAACUAUAAAGGAUAGCUGUCUUAGUACUAUAUUUAUAUAAAUUUUCUUAUUAGGUGAAAAUUCCUAAAAUUUUUACACUAGACGAGAAGACCCUAAGAGUUUUGAUAAUUAAGUAUUAAAAUUAGCUUAAAGUUUUUGUUGGGGCAACAUAUAAACAUAAUAUAAAAUUUUUAGUAAUGACUUUGACAUAACUACGAUAAAUGUAAUUUAGAAUAAAUUACCUUAGGGAUAACAGCAUAAUUUAAUAUAUAAGAUUGUGACCUCGAUGUUGGAUUAAGGAUUAUCUUGGUUAGCCACCAUGAUAACAAGUUCUGUUCGAACUU
rnacentral:rRNA from 1 species